AGUGCUUCAUUAAGGGCUACAACUUGUGCGGUGGAUAUAGAAUUUCGACACCGUUGAUUUUAGGGAUUUUUCACAUCUUUCCUCUCCAAACUUGAGGAAAUGAUGUGGUAUUUUCGCAUUAGUGAAAGUGAGUGAAUGUUUUGUGAGCGUAAGGCUCUUUUGUUUAUUCGUUAUAUUUUUGACAAGUCAAGGACUUAUGUGUAUGGGUUUGUAAAUCAUUUAUUUGUAACCGG